rnacentral:rRNA from 1 species
UACGGAGGGUGCAAGCGUUAUCCGGAUUCACUGGGCUUAAAGGGUGCGUAGGUGGGAAUGUAAGUCAGUGGUGAAAUCUCCGUGCUUAACAUGGAAACUGCCAUUGAUACUAUGUUUCUUGAAUUUUCUGGAGGUAAGCGGAAUAUGUCAUGUAGCGGUGAAAUGCUUAGAUAUGACAUAGAAUACCAAUUGCGAAGGCAGCUUGCUACAGGGAUAUUGACACUGAGGCACGAAAGCGUGGGGAUCAAACAGG